GACUUCCUCUGCACACUCAACUACACGGUGGAGCAGAUGCAGCAGUUCGUGCCGGAGCUAAGCAAGUGCGAGAGGACGAUUCCCGGCGGCGUGGCCAACCUGAACCACCCGUCGUUCGUGGUGGUGUUCGACGGCCGCACCCGCGUCCGCACGCUGACGCGGACGGUGACCUUGGUGUCGGCGCGCCCCGAGAGGUACAACGUGACGGUCGCCGCGCCCGACGGGGUGAAGGUGACCGUGACGCCGGCGACGCUGGAGUUCAGGUGGCCGAACGAGAAGAGGAGCUACAGCGUGCAGUUCAGCAGCGAGGCGGGGGCGAAGGCGAGGCCGGCCGGCACGUGGGAGUUCGGCCACAUCGCCUGGGAGAACAGGAAGCACCGGGUCAGGAGCCCCGUCGCCUUCAAAUGGGACAACUGAUGCCAUGCAUGUAGGCCGGAACUCUGAGAGUGAGUCUGAUUGCCUGAACUCUGAGAGAGUAAUGUUAUGAUACUUGAGAGUUGAUCUGUAAUGAAGAAGAAGAAGAAUCGGCAUUUCAUUGUGGUGAACUUGUGAUGAGGAGAAAGGAAUAAUCAUCAUGUUAUUUUUCUCCUGUCCAAUUGCAUCUAAUUGCGUAUGGAUCGUCGUCCAACUUCAUGGAAUGAAAUCAUAUACGUACAUACUACAUAGUUUUAAUCCGUAGACUCGCAUUUGCAUUUUGCAUGGCUCUCUCAGUGGCUGACCAUGCAUAUUUCCUUGGUGAUGCAUUCAUGUUUAGCUAGGUUAGAGUACUUGAGAUGUACUCCUAUCAUGGAUCGUACUGUACGUCAUACGUCUAAACAGACUGGUGUUGCUUCCGCGCAUCAUCUGCCGCCGUAUUGUAUCGGGACAAAUGCUACUUGGAGAGAAGCAGAUUUGAAAAUAGCUAACAGCGUCAUAUUAGAAAGUAUCAAUACCUAUAAUGUCUAACAAAUAUAAUAUAAAAAUAUAGGCCCUGUUUGGUUCAUAAGUCCUAGGACUUUUUUUAGUCUCAACUUAUAAGUCGCAAGUCCCUAAAAAGUCCCUACUUGUUUGGUUCCUGGAACUUAUAAGUCCCUAUAAGACCAUAUUACAACUAUAAGUCCCUAUAAGUCCCUACUUGAGAGUCUUAUUUCAUAAGUCCCAAAUGCCCACUUUAAGUCCUUAUAAGUCCCUCCUGUUUGGUUUAGAUGGGACUUAUAGGGACUUUUUUAAGUCCCUAAGCCAAUAAGUCCCUGGAAACAAACACCCUCAUAUUUAAUAAAUGGUAUUGUAUGUCAUAUGUCUAAACAGAACAUUUGGGUCAGUCGACUGAUUGGGUUCAUGAACAUGAUAACACGUUCUUCGGCUUUCUUCUCUCUCACAAGCCUUUCCUCCUUGAGUGCAUGCCUCCGCUCCUCCGCCUUCAACUUCUUCUCUCCGGCCGCCAACUUAGGCCUCCAUUUGUCGUCCUCCAAAGACUUGAGCUCAUUCCACCUUUCCGCCUUCUCUUCUUUGCGUUCGAUCACCAAUGAUUUCUUGGUCAGUCAUAGACACAACACACAAGCUCUAUCUUGUAGUUGCCGCCGAAGGCUCCUCUCCUUUUCCUCUCUCUUGCAAUCUUGUUAGCACCGGGCCUCUUAUUGGGAUUUUCAUCCUCCUCAUCACUGGCUUCAACGAUAUGCUAAUCCUUGACCUCUGUGGAGUGGCCUUGAAGUUUCUCCUAAUCCACUUCUCAUUGUUGGCGAGUUCUUUGUAGCAAUGGUGCAACAUGAAGCCCUUGCCACCAUUCUUCUUGCUGUGUUGCUUGUAUAACACUUGGACGAGAGGCACAUAAAGAUUUUCACCACACUCGGUGGCAAAUGGUUGACUUGAUCAAUACAACCGAACCAUUGGUUGCAUUGCUUUUGGAUGGUGCCCCGGCAGUGCCCAAAAGAGCCUUGAGUGCAGCUUGAUGUGACAUCCACAAUGGUGCUAUGGCACUCUUCCGUCCUACGUACCCCAAUACUUUCUUUUGAUUGAUCUGUGUUAACCGAUGCAUCAAGCGUCACAUUCAUCCAAGCUUGAUAAAAAGCAAUCUUCUUCUUGGCAAUAGUUGUGUAUUCUCGGUCUCUUCAUGCUUGAUUGUGUCUUCAUGGGAUUAUUGACCUCCUCGGCCUCGUCCUCCUCCUCCACUUCAGGAUCAUCCUCCUCCCCACCCUCUAUUGUUGAGAAAAUAUCGGAUAUUCAUAUUGAGGGGCGUAGGGGUGGCUAGCGACGGGGUACAAGCAGCCGGACAAGUCGAGGUGCUGGAGUUGCCUUCUUCUUCGCCUCAGCCUCGGCAAGCACCUUAAUGGCCGAUGUCGGCUUCUUCGCCCGCUUACCGCCAGCCAAAUCAAGAGAAGGGUGACUUGCCAUCGUUGGGGCCGGCCUUGCCACCGCUCUUGCUGCCGGCCUUGGUUGACGGUGGGGAGGCCCGAAGCAAGUUUUUGGUCCCCGACCUCUUCCUUCGUGCGGGCAGAGGCACGUGGGUCGACUCCGGCGGCGUCACACCGACGGCGGUGGCUGAAGUCUUGCAGUUCAUUUCGGCCAAAAUCAGGGGCAUCGAUGGCAAAAACAAAAGUGUGCUGGUUUUCUCCACAUUUUUUUUUGUAAUUGACUCAAUGCAUGAUCAUGUUAUGUGCCGGGACUUGACUUGUCAUCAUUCUUAUCUUUUCGCUCUUUCCCUUGAUCACAGGUCACGAGUAUCAGCAUCGAAGGCGUUUUAGUAAUAGGAGAUCCAAAUAGUUGUGCUCUUGCGUAUGGCUGUUUAAGUUCUCAUGGGAAAGUGUAAUGGAUGUUACUACUUGCUAGCUUCUUGACGCUGAUGGUCUUGUAGUACCAUGAGCGAUGUGCAUUUUUGUGUGGGAGGAAGUACCAAGUUUUCUGCAUCAGGGACUGAAAACAGCCCUGCCUGGCAUCCCGUGCUAUUGCUGACAGAUGAGGCGUUGCACAAAGCUAGAAUGUUAACCGAAAGCCAGCGCGUUUGCAUGUGUUGUGUGCUUCACUCGACGGGGGGACAAGGCAAGUUGAGUUUUUAGGAAAAGACAAACGGGCAGGGUGCAGGCCGUUUCACUCCUUCCUUGUUUCGUUUGGAAGUCUGUUUCAUCACGAAUAAUGGAGCUGUGGAUGGCAAAGUUGUGCUUAUGCAUUUGCCUAGCAUCACCCUACCUCCAAGACUUGAAAUGGAGACUAGUUUGCUCAUCCAUGUGCCCUUGGGGCUUGCUGUAAAAAACUGCUUGCUACAAUGUAUGUCACUACCCACUGGUUUUGUUACAAAAAAUCAAUAAAAAUUUGUUCCCUUGCAAAACAAAGCCCAAUAGUUUUUGCUUCGAGGCUACAUUUACCUUCCACUAGGUCUGGAUCACCGUGCAUCUACCAUCCACUAGCUGUAGCUGAGCCACCAUGAUGAUAUAUUUAGCUAAACAUGGUAACGCAAGCUUCAAACUAAGAUAGAAUUGGGAUGAGACCAUGAGCCUAACAGGUGUGUGAUGCAAAAUAUUUUCUCUUGGCGAUGCAUUUUCUUGCUGAUCUGAACACGCAUGCAUGCCUUGUCCGGUAGCGUCACGCUGGGCUGCUCAAGCUCUAUAAAACCCACCACUCGCAUGCAUUCCUCAACCACAACCUCCCUCACACACAAUACAACAAUGGCUUCCAUGAUCUCCAUCCUCUUGCGCUGCUCCCUGCUACUUCUCCUCCUUGUCCAGUCCACACACUCCUCCGUCACCUCGAAGCCCAAGAACGACAUUGCCGAGGAGCACAAGCAGCCUCAUCCUUCGACCUCCAGCACCUACAUCGUCCUCACCAACCACCUCGCCAAGCCGUCCAAGUUCGACACCCUCGAGCGCUGGUACGCGUCCAUGGUGGGCAAGAACUCCAACCGCAUCCAGUACACCUACGGCACCGUCAUGCACGGUUUUGCGGCUCGUCUCACGGACGGCGAGGCCCAGCGCAUGGCGACCGUCCCCGGCGUGUCCCGCGUGUACAAGGACAGGCUGUACCACACCCAGACCACGAGGUCUCCGUGGUUCAUGGGCCUCCACGACGACUUCGGCGCGUGGCCGGACGCCGAGUUCGGCGACGGCGUCAUCAUCGGCUUCGUCGACACCGGCAUCUGGCCGGAGCGCGCCAGCUUCAGCGACGCCGGGCUCGGCCCCGUCAGGUCCACCUGGAGGGGCAAGUGCGUGGACGCGCCGGGAUUCAACGCCAGCUUGUGCAACAACAAGCUCGUCGGCGCCAAGUCCUUCGUCGAUUCGAGUCCGAGGGACAUCGAGGGGCACGGAACGCACGUGUCGUCAACGGCUGCAGGCUCCGAGGUCCCCUCGGCCGAUCUCUUCAAGUUCGCGCGCGGGAGAGCGAGCGGCGUGGCGCGCAGGGCAAGGAUCGCCAUGUACAAGGCGUGCACACCCAUGGACGGAUGCUCCUUGUCGGCCAUUACCGCGGCGAUCGAUGCCGCGGUGAGCGACGGCGUGGACCUCAUCUCCAUGUCCCUCGGAGGCCCCGUGGAAGCCUUCUACGACGACCUCGUCGCCGUCGCCACGUUCGGCGCUGAGCGCAGAGGCGUCUUCGUCGUCAUGGCGGGCGGCAACGACGGCCCGAAAGCGUCAAGCAUAACCAACGUGGCCCCGUGGAUGACGACCGUCGGCGCCGCCACCACGGACCGGUUGUUCCCGGCGACACUCCGGCUCGGCAACGGGGUGGUGCUCACCGGGCAGUCCCUCUACAACAUCCCGUUCUCCCAGGGCGCGGGCAUGAUCCCGCUAGUGAGCAGCGACUGCGGCGAGUACGACUACCACCUGACGCCCGACAGGAUCAUGGGCAAGGUCGUGGUGUGCUCCCAGGGUGUAGGAGCUUGGGCCGGCUUUGACGUGGAGAGAGCCGGCGGAGCCGGGAUGAUUUCCGCAGAUAGUAGGGUACGGUUCGGGGACGCGGUGAAGGCCCAACCCUUCAACCUUCCCGGUCUCCAGCUCAGCUCCACCGGCGGCAAGAAGCUGGCCGAUUACAUGUCGUCCGUGGCGUACCCGGUGGCGUCCUUCAACUUCACCUCCAACACGGUCACCGGCGAGAACCGGGCGCCGAUGGUGGCGGGCUUCUCCUCGCGGGGCCCCAACCCGAUUGUCCCCGAGAUCCUCAAGCCGGACGUCAUCGCGCCAGGAGUGAACAUCCUCGCCGCUUGGUCUGGUGCCGCCUCGCCAUCUGGCUCCGACAUGGACCCGCGGAGAGUGGGGUACAACAUCCUCUCGGGGACGUCGAUGGCGUGCCCGCACGUGGCCGGCGUGGCGGCCCUGAUUAAGAAGCGGCACGGCGACUGGACGCCGGCCAUGAUCCGUUCGGCGCUGAUGACGACCGCCGGCCCGCUCGACAAGGACGGCAGGGACAUCGUGGACAGCGGCAGUGCCAUCGGCGCCGCCGUCAUGGGCGCGACGCCGCUGGCGGCCGGGGCCGGGUUCGUGCUCCCGCGGCUCGCCAUGGACCCGGGCCUGGUGUACGACGCCGGCACGCAGGACUACGUCGACUUCCUCUGCACACUCAACUACACGGUGGAGCAGAUGCAGCAGUUCGUGCCGGAGCUAAGCAAGUGCGAGAGGACGAUUCCCGGCGGCGUGGCCAACCUGAACCACCCGUCGUUCGUGGUGGUGUUCGACGGCCGCACCCGCGUCCGCACGCUGACGCGGACGGUGACCUUGGUGUCGGCGCGCCCCGAGAGGUACAACGUGACGGUCGCCGCGCCCGACGGGGUGAAGGUGACCGUGACGCCGGCGACGCUGGAGUUCAGGUGGCCG
rnacentral:lncRNA from 1 species